UUGGUUGUUAUGUUACCGUUUCAUUUGUUAACCCUACCCGCACACACUGUCGACGGUCAUCCCUUCCAUCAUUCCUCCACUUCUCCACUUCUUCUCCAAUAGCUCUUCGGCUAUUUCUCUUCGGACGAGAGCUUCACCUUAUUCCUAUUCGGCCGUUUCUUCUUUGGUUCCAUCAGUUUCAACACAGAAUCGUUCUCAGCAAAUUUUUGGCUUGUUCUCGGCAGAUCCGACUCGUUCUCCAGCAGCUCGUUCACUACAGACUUAUUUUCUACAAACUAAGGAAAAUUAACCCAUUCAGCUACUCAAUUUGGGAAAGCAAUCCUUUGAGCAGUUCGAAUCUCCUGCAUGGUAGAGAAGAAGAAGAAAGAUGGGAGAGAGAAAGGUUUUGAGCAAGCUAUAAAUUUGUAAGAAUUCAAUUUAAUUGAUUUUUUCUUUGUCAAUUUUCAUAUUUAAAAACAUAAUAACGAAAAAUUCAAUUCUUUUAAUUUAUAAAAAGGAUUAAUUUUUUUAAAAAUAAAAAUCGAGCAAAAAAUUAUUUGAUUAUGUGAAAAUUCAGUUCAAUUUUUUUCUUUUAUAUGAUUUAUUUUAAAUAAAACCUCAGUACAAGGAAUGAAUUAUAAUACAAUACCUAAAAUGAGAAGGUGCACAAUUUUGAUUUAUAUCUAGGCAUAAAAAUAAAAAAAUAUUAAAAUAAAAGAUGAAACUUAAAAUAUACGGAAAAAAUGCAAAAUUGAGAAGCUAGUGUUUUUUAAACAUUUCAAAGUAAAAAGAGAUAUAGUAAAAUAUUUAAUAAAAGUACUAUGUUUUUAAUUUAAUGGAAGUGUCUAUAUCUUUUAUAUUUUAUUCUUUAUUCAGCUUUAAUAAUAUUUAUUCAUUAAAAAAUAAGAUAAAAUUAAUUUUAUAUUAGCAUGUCAAUUAAAUAAUUUAACAAUUAUAAUUAUUCACCCUAUGUGAGGAUUAGAGACCAAAAUAAUUGAUAAGAAUGAAAUAAUAAUUUUUAUUAAAAUAAUAAUAAAAUCAAAGUUUUUUAAAAAAAUUAAAAUAAGUUCACUUAUAUUAAAUUAUUAACUAAAUUAAAAAUAGACAUUUUUAAAAUUGAAAGAAGUAUUUUAGACUAAAGACUUGAGGCUCAUAGGUCGUACAAUAUUUUUUUUCUUUUAGGAGUGAGUAAUUUUAAGUUAUAAUUAAAAAAAUUAAAUUAAAUUAAAUUAAUCAAUUCAAUUCAGUUAAUUAAUUUAAAUGGUUUAAUUCAAAUAAUUUUUUAAGAGAUUUUUACUUUUAAAUCGAUUCGAUUAAUUUAAUUAAAGUAAAUGAAAAUAUCGAACCUUCCCAAUUGCUAAGGCCUGUCAUAAGAGGAGGUCCAGGUCCAGAGCAGUACCCCAACCCCUUUUCACCUCUGCCUUGCUGAAUCACUGUUGUUCCCUUCCCUACUUUCCAUCUCCUCCGCCGUCACUCUGGUCAACUGCAACAGCAACACCACCAGUUCCCCCCCUCUCCCACUCCUUCUUGUCGCUGAUCUCGCCCUCGCUUGCCUCCUGGUCCUUCUCCACAUUCUCAGAUAAUUCACCCUAAGUUUAAUCCUUGUAGGUGAUAGAUAUGUAUUAUUGUAUUGAUUAUUUGAUUUACUUCCCUGAAAUAAUUUGGCCAUUUUUAGCACUCUAUGUUUCUAUGUAAUUGCGAUUUUUAUUGAUGCCUUAUAUCCUGUAAAAUCAUUUUUUGAUAUAUUUUUGCUGCGACAUUGGCUUUUGGAUAGUUUCAUAUACCAUUGUGAGCUCGUCAUAAGAAAUUUUAUGUCGUGACCAGCGAGAAGACUUUUGAGAGCCUGAUUUUAUAAGUACUUAAUGUUCUAGGAGAUUAUUUUUGACAUUGUAUGAUUGUGGUAUUUGAAGUCUGGUCACUGUGAGCAAGAUAUGGAGAAGAACCAAUAUUGGAGGUGAAAGUUUUGAUAAGCAUGCAGGCCGUUAACUUGGAAUUGUUUUGGCAUGGAAAGUGACUGAUUAUAACUCUGCAUUUCUGUGUUUUGAAAUUAGAAUAUGGAAUUUUGUUAUGUGGAUUAUGACUCUAGAUGCAAAUGUUUAAAUGCCUAAACCAGUAGCCUAAUGAGCAACUUGUUAUUCAGUUGAGAUGGUCUGGGAAAGAACUAACAUUUGUUCUCCUACACAUUUCUUCCUUGAGAUAUAUUUUUAGUGCAUAUAACUGAAAUUUCUUUCCUAGUUCAGUCUGUGCCUAUGAAAUGUAAUGGCCCAAACACAUUCAAGCCAACCAAUAAAGCAUUAUAUUUAGAAAGCAAGUUCAAAUGUGAAAAUUAAAGGUUUGUCAUUGAAUUCAAAUUCUUGAUGCUAAGAUAUUGACGAGUUGACCGAGGAUUGUUUUUUAAUUCAAACCAAGAAACCGGACCGAACUGAGAUUUUUGGUUUGGUUCUAUCUCACUAAUCAGUUCAGUUCUAUGCCCACCAAGUGUUUGCUCAAAUUGUCGAACCAGACAUUUUCGUGGAGAACACAAUAAUGAGAGCCUCUGCUCAAAUUCAUAAUCAUUUGAAGGCAAUUUCACAUAAUUCCCAGAUGGAGAGUAAGGUAAUAAAAGCUUGAUAGUUUCAGGUUUUCAUUCUUGCUUAAAGCUUGUAUUUUUUCUAGGCCUUAAUGGAGAAAAACCGGUUAUAUAAUUUGUUUCAUGGCAAAACAUGCCAACUAUAGGGAUAUGGAAGUAGGGGGUUGUAAAUGAUCAAAGCUGUGCUUUAAUGGCUUAGGUUUGGCUCGUCGAUAUCUUUAGAAGCUCGAGCUCAACCCGGGGUUUAAUAGUAGAGCUUGAGUUCGGCUCUUUCAAAAUUUAUGAAACUCAAGCUGAGCUCAACUUGAGUUCAUUUAUAAAAUAAACGAGCCAAGCUCGAUCUUGGCUCAUUUGCUACCUUAGGCUUGAUAAGCUUGUGUAAAUGGGCUCGAUCUCUUAAAGCCUUUGAUGACAAGGUAAGCAUGGAUUUACAUUAGAGAUCAAGGGUUUGUGCAAUUUUGCAAUAGGUGUGACUGCUGCAAGUGGUUGAUGCUCUUGUCAUUAGUUCUCUUCCUUAUCAUGGCAUGAAACAAUGCUUCUCAUAGCUUCCCUACGUGCUUUCUAGCUCUUCUAUUUAUCAAGUGGGAAUUCAUAGUUUUUUUUUUUUUUAAUUUGUAUUUUUUGAAUGUUAUAAAUUUAUCAAUAGAAAUUUAUUUUGCAAUUAUAGCUUAUUAUUAUUAUUAAGGGAAAAUAGUUUAUUGAUGAGUUUAAUGUUUAAAAUGAUAUGUAUUGUCUGUGAAAAUUGUUAUAUGCUAUGUUUUAGUUCUACUAAGGCAGAUAGAUAUAUAUUUGGAGGGUUGUGUCUAUACUUGUCCCUUUUUUAUUUAUUUUUUGACUAGGGAAAUGUCUAAUUUUUAGUGAAAUUUUGCUAGAUUUUCAAUAAGAUUUUAGGGGAGAGUUGAGUUAGAUUUUUUUUUACUUAGGUAGGAGUUUUUAUUUCUCUAUGUUAACCUAAAUAUUAUUAUUGUAUUCUAUAGGGCCAUUUCCACCAAAAGGUAAUAGUGUGGCAAGGCUGUACCAUAAGCUGGCGGCUAGACCCUUGAUUUCUUGAGCUUAAUUGGUUGAUGCUAUGUGAGAGGAGACAAUGGCUUUGCACUUGUCAUGAUCCUCAAGUGUCCAUGUCAUCAACUAAAGAUGUUAAACUAGUACCUGAAGAAAACCGAAAAAUGAACCAAUCUCUCUAGUUAUGGUAAUUUGAGAUUUAAAUUUCACUCUUGGUUUGAUUUGAUGUUUUUGUUUAUCUUUCUUUGAUUUGAUUUGAUUUUUUUUGUUUAUCUUUCUCUGAUAAGUGCUGAUAGUUGGGCAUUUGGGCGCAGGAAAAUCUGCAAAAAUUUAUUCGAUGUGUAAGGUAUAGUCAAAUGAUCUUUGAAUGAUUUUGUUUCCUUCAAAUCUUAAAUCCUGAAUCCUACUCAGUUCUUAUCUAAAGCUCUUCAAAUUUUAAAAUGCAAAUUGUCAAGUCACUAUCUGUUCUCCCACCUUCCCCUUUAUACAAUCUUCUCUUCAUUCCCAAACUUCCCUUCUUUUCUUCUUUUUCUUCACUUGCCAAUACUGUAGAAGCCCCAAACCCUGCCCUUUUCCAUUACCUAAUGGAAACAUUAAAAUUCUCUAAAACCCAAGCACUCUUAAUCUCCACGCGCUACUCUCACAUCAAAUCCAUGGAAAAACCUCAAUCCGUGUUUUGCUUUUUCCAAAACCUUGGUUUCUCCAAUUCCCAUAUCCAAUCUGCUAUCCUUCUAACACCCCAAAUUCUCUUUGCUAAUAUUGAGAAGUCCCUUAAACCAAAAAUUAAGCUUUUUCAAGAUAUAGGUCUUGUGGGUUGUGACUUAGGUAAGUUCAUUUCCAAGAAUUCCCCGCUUUUAACUGCUAGUUUGAAGGAAAAGUUGGUUCCUCGCAUUGAAAUUUUGAAGAAACUUUUGUUGAAUGAUGAGAAAAAUGAGGAUUUGGUGAAGGUUAUACGUAGAUGCAAUUGGUUAAUCUCCAAAAACCCUGAAUCGAGGUUGUUAUCCAACAUCACAUACUUGAAGAGUUGUGGGAUAGUUGGGUCUCAGCUCUCUAUGUUGUUAAAGAGGCAGCCUAGGCUUUUUGUUAUGCAAGAAUCAAGGCUUAGAGACCUUGUUUCUCGAGUAUUGAAUAUGGGAUUCUCAAUCAAUUCAAGGAUGUUGGUUCAUGCUUUAUAUACUGUUAGUUGCUUGAGUGAUGAGACAUUUGAGAGAAAAUUUGGAAUUUUAAAGAGUUAUGGGUUUUCAGAGUAUGAAUGCAUAGAAAUGUUUAGAAAGGCACCAGGUUUGCUAAGGACCUCUAAGGAGAAGUUGAAGUUGGGAAUUGAUUUCUUUUUGAAUGUAGUAAAGUUUAAAAAAGAAGUGUUGCUUCACAAUCCUACAUAUUUGAUGCAUAGCAUGGAAGAAAGAGUGAUUCCUCGAUACAAAGUUUUGGAGAUUAUGAAGUCAAAGAAGAUAUUUAAGAAGGAGCCAAGCUUUAUUAAUGUGUUGCAUUUAACAGAAGAGGAGUUUUUACAGAAGUUUAUAUCAAGGUUCCCAGAUGAUGCCUUGGAAUUGUUGAUAGUUUACAAAGGCAAUAUUCUGGAUUCAUCAUCCUAGGGAGAAAAAUCUUGAUACAGGAAAAUUAUGUUCAUUUGGGCUUCGAUUAUUAUUUUUGACUUAAAGGAACAUAGGAAAAUUACCCAUUCAGCUACUCAAUUUGGGAAAGCAAUCCUUGGAGCACUUCGAAUCUCCUGCGUGGUAGAGAAGAAGAAGAAAGAUGGGAGAGAGAAAGGUUUUGAACAAGUAUUAUCCGCCCGAUUUUGAUCCAUCGAAGGUUCCCUGAAUUAGGAGGCCAAGAAACCAGUAGAUUAAGGUCCGGAUGAUGCUUCCAAUGGGUAUACGUUGCAACACUUGCCGCAAUUACAUAUAUAAGGGCACCAAGUUCAAUUCUUGCAAGGAAGAUGUCAUCGGCGAGGUUCUAUUUCAAGUGCACCAAAUGUUCAGCCGAGCUUGCCAUAAAGAGAGAU